UUAUAUACAUUGCAUACAUUUUAUAGGUUUCUUGUGCUCACUUUACUAAAAGUUAUAGUCUGUAUGUCUAGUUUCUCCAAAAUGUACAGCAAUUGUUUCUUGUUUGUAUAAAUAUGCUUGAAUUUUUAUUAUAAAAAUGUUCAUUGUAGGAAGUAGAGAUGCAUAUCAUGGCCUUUAAAAUAUUGUAAUAAAGGCAAAUGGAUAUUUGCCCUUAGUUUACUGGUUAAAAGUUUGUUUACAGAAUUUUCUUUGGUGCUUUAAUGAUGCUAUGUAAAAUGUCAUGAGUGGAAAGAAUAAUUUUGUAGUAGUAACAGAGACUUCAUUUAGGAAAGAUGUUUUGAGAGAACAUAUUAAAGUACAGUUGCCCAAGGGCCAGGGAUUUAGCUCAGUGGUGCUGCGUCUGCCUCACAAGUGCAAGGUCCUGAGUUUGAUCCCAGUACCGAAAAAAUAAAAAUAAAUUUUAAAAAAUGUACAAUUGCCCAUACUAGAUAAGAAUUUUACAAUGAAGACAUAAUUCUCCUUGAUUGUACUUACGUUCUUGUUAAAAAAUUAAUCUAAAUAUAGAAGACAUGUGAAUUCUUAUAGUAUCAUAUGCUAUUUGUAGCCAUAACUUAAAUCAUACCUCCUUAAUUAAAAACCUUUAACUCCUUAGAUGAUACAAAUGAGAACUGAGAUAACCGGAAAAAAAAAUUUAAAGCAAGAGCUAUGCAUAUUUUAGGUCAUGGGUCUUUUUAAGUUCUCAAGUGUUAAAACAUCAGUUAUAAAAUACUGAUAAUACAAGGUGAUGAUGAAGUAUAUAUAUGAUUAGGAGAACUGGGGAAAUAAAAACUUUCAGUAAAAUUCAUAAAAUUUCAUUUUGUUUUCACUUAGGGAUUAAAAUACCAAUAUUUAGGUAACUACAAAUCAGUACAGGACUAAUUUCAAAUGAAUUUUUAAAAUACAGGCUCAUAAUCUCUUGGGAAGGUUUUUAGAUAAUAAAGUUUUCAAAUGCUAAAAAAUUACAAAAGUCAAUUUAACAUCAUAAAUAAGCCAAAAUUAUAUUGCUAUAUGAAUAUCCAUCCAUGCAGAGAAGUUUUUUUGCUGAUCAAGUUUGAAGUUCACCUGUUGUUGAGAACUAUUUUCUAUGACUUACUCUAACCAGGUUUUAUUUUAAGUUGUGUUUCUUUCAUAGAAAGGCCAUGAAAAUAGAAUAAUGACAUACUAGAAGAAAAUAGAAUAAUGACCUAGUAGGAGGUAUUGGUCAUUUUGGACAGAAGUUGCUAAGGUUUUCUGAAUUAAUUAUUAGACUGUAACCAUUUAGAUACUGUGUUAAGCCCUGUGUUAUAUUAUUUCCUAAAAGAUAAUGCUUAAAUUUUAAGCAUCAGUGUGUUCUUCAUGUUAAUAUGGCAGAAUUUUGUAAACUAAAUUAAAAUUUACUGGUGUACUGGGCUUUGAGCAAAACGAAGGAAUGAAUACUAUCUUUCUAAAUAUAUUAGAGAUACAAGUUUAUUCUGAGACAGUCUGCCCAUUGAAAUUAUUAGCUUUCUGACUUGCAAAUACUGUAUGCUUUGUGCUCAAGAAGAAUUGGAGCAAAAUCAGAUAGAAUUCUAAUUUAAAUACGUGUACAACAGUCUUUGUUUAUAGUGUAAAAUUCUUUAUAUUUUGUACAAAAACUAAUUCUUUUGGUAAAACGAACCAUUUACAGUUUGUUUUGGGACUCUUAAAGGAUUUUUCUUUAAAUGCUUGUCUCAGUUUUAGUCUGAUCUUUUGUACUUCUCUUCAGAAGAAAUGAAUUAAAGGGUACAGCUGCAUAAAGUAGGUUUUUAUCCUAAAUGGAUUGUAAAUAAAUUAUAAACUUUAUUUUGUCUUUAAUUUUUUAAUUUAAAACAUUUUGAUAUUUC
ensembl:lncRNA